rnacentral:rRNA from 1 species
CACCAGACUCCUACGGGAGGCAGCAGUGAGGAAUAUUGGUCAAUGGGCUUACGCCUGAACCAGCCAAGUCGCGUGAGGGAAGACGGCCCUACGGGUUGUAAACCUCUUUUGUCGGGGAGCAAAGCGAACCACGUGUGGUUCAUUGAGAGUACCCGAAGAAAAAGCAUCGGCUAACUCCGUGCCAGCAGCCGCGGUAAUACGGAGGAUGCGAGCGUUAUCCGGAUUUAUUGGGUUUAAAGGGUGCGUAGGCGGAUUUGUAAGUCAGCGGUAAAAAUGCGGUGCUCAACGCCGUAUCGCCGUUGAAACUGCAGGUCUUGAGUGAGCGGGAAGUAUGCGGAAUGCGUGGUGUAGCGGUGAAAUGCAUAGAUAUCACGCAGAACUCCGAUUGCGAAGGCAGCAUACCGGCGCUCAACUGACGCUGAGGCACGAAAGCGUGGGGAUCGAACAGGAUUAGAUACCCGAGUA